GACGAACGCUGGCGGCGUGCUUAACACAUGCAAGUCGAACGGAAAGGCCUUUUCGGAGGUACUCGAGUGGCGAACGGGUGAGUAACACGUGGGUGAUCUGCCCUGCACUCUGGGAUAAGCCUGGGAAACUGGGUCUAAUACCGGAUAGGACCGCACUUCAGUGUGUGUGGUGGAAAGUUUUUUCGGUGUAGGAUGAGCCCGCGGCCUAUCAGCUUGUUGGUGGGGUAAUGGCCUACCAAGGCGGCGACGGGUAGCCGGACUGAGAGGUUGGUCGGCCACAUUGGGACUGAGAGACGGCCCAGACUCCUACGGGAGGCAGCAGUGGGGAAUAUUGCACAAUGGGCGCAAGCCUGAUGCAGCGACGCCGCGUGGGGGAUGACGGCCUUCGGGUUGUAAACUCCUUUCGCCAGGGACGAAGCGUUUUGUGACGGUACCUGGAGAAGAAGCACCGGCUAACUACGUG
rnacentral:rRNA from 1 species